rnacentral:rRNA from 1 species
UUGAUCCUGGCUCAGAAUCAACGCUGGCGGCGUGCCUAACACAUGCAAGUCGAACGCGAAAGUCCCGCAAGGGAUUAGUAGAGUGGCAAACGGGUGAGUUACGCGUGGGUGACCUGCCUUCGAGUGGGGGAUAACGUCUCGAAAGGGACUCUAAUACCGCAUGACAUCCUGCCUUUGAAGAGGUGGAGAUCAAAGCCGGUGAUCGCAAGACCUGGCGCUUGAUGAGGGGCCCGCGUCUGAUUAGCUAGUUGGUGGGGUAACGGCUCACCAAGGCAACGAUCAGUAUCCGGCCUGAGAGGUCGGACGGACACACUGGGACUGAGACACGGCCCAGACUCCUACGGGAGGCUGCAGUGGGGAAUUGUUCGCAAUGGGCGCAAGCCUGACGACGCAACGCCGUGUGGAGGAUGAAGACCUUCGGGUCGUAAACUCCUUUCGAUCGAGACGAAUGGCUCCCGGGUGAACAAUCCGGGAGAGUGACGGUACCGAGAGAAGAAGCUCCGGCUAACUCCGUGCCAGCAGCCGCGGUAAUAAGGU